AAGGUAGAAAGUGGAAGAGAUGUGGUCUGCCUCCUCGAUUGUCCUAUCCCUCUUAAAGGCUUCAGCUGCGUCACAUAACCACAUCUAGCUGCAAGGGAAAUGGACAGCGCAUUUAGAGGAUGGUAUCCAAGAGUAUGCUAAUGACAUUUCACAUUAUGACCUGUGAAUAUACGGGAAUGAAAAUUGCUGGGAUCGCCUCUGCGAUGCAUUGCCUCUGAUAGGGGCAUUCCAGCACUGAUUUACUGAACACCUAACUGGAAGAUUCAUGCUUGGUCCUGGGAAUGGAAUAAUGAACAAAACAGAUGGAACUGUUGGAACUUUCAGGAGAGUCAGGCACUCGCCAAAAAGAUCACACCAAUGAAUAUACAGUUACAUACAGAAUGAAGUUUCGAAGGAAAACAACACGACUGCUAUUGGAGAGCCAGGGGUAGUUUCCUGUAGGAAGGGGCACUUGACCUGAGAUCUUAGGGAUAACUAGGAGUUGACUUGAGUGAGGAAGAGGCUGUGACUCUUGUGACCAGCCCCACUAGCAUCCUGCUUAUCAGACCCUUCUCUUCCAUUGUUCUCUCUAUAAGGCAACUCCAUGAUGGAAAUGCAGUCCUCUAUGGAAUGACUGGGGCAUACAGUGGGUUUAACCCUCUGACACCAAUCCAAAGAGCUGUCUAAGUACCUCCAC